CGUAGGGUGCAAGCGUUAAUCGGAAUUACUGUGCGUAAAGCGUGCGCAGGCGGUUAUGUAAGACAGUUGUGAAAUCCCCGGGCUCAACCUGGGAACUGCAUCUGUGACUGCAUAGCUAGAGUACGGUAGAGGGGGAUGGAAUUCCGCGUGUAGCAGUGAAAUGCGUAGAUAUGCGGAGGAACACCGAUGGCGAAGGCAAUCCCCUGGACCUGUACUGACGCUCAUGCACGAAAGCGUGGGGAGCAAACAGGAUUAGAUACCCUGGUAGUCCACGCCCUAAACGAUGUCAACUGGUUGUUGGGUCUUCACUGACUCAGUAACGAAGCUAACGCGUGAAGUUGACCGCCUGGGGAGUACGGCCGCAAGGUUG
rnacentral:rRNA from 1 species